UCGAAUUACCCGCCACAGUUCGUAGCCGUUCGUAGCCAGCUUCGGAAUCGAUCAUUUGCAUAAUACAUGAAUGAAGCGCCCGUAUGUAAACAACCGAUACUGGCGAUAGCGACUUUCAUUCAGCUACCAACAUGGUCAAAAGAAAUGUUUCUACCAGUUACUCUUGAGCCACCUCCAAGCAUUCCCUUAUCCCAAAUUGAUAUUAAAAGAGAAUGUUGAUGAGCCUGAUCCGUCGAUUCAAAUACCAUAACACAGCCAACCCAAAAAAAAGAACAGCAAACAAGUGAGCAAGCUGACAAAGCUGCAACUUCAGGGAGCAAUUAUAAGGGUCAUCAAGAUGGAGCCAGGAUUCAUGAUGCUCGUAUUAGAGGUGCUGGACCAGAGUCUGAGGAAGGGAGUAGAACUCCAAGCUGGUUUGAGUGUGCUUCAACAGCCGGGACAUUUCAUUGCAGAGUUAAAAAGUUUGUUGGUGCCGGGAGGCCAGUCUUUCUCAAACUGCUGACUCUGACCUCCUUGUUUUGAAUGAAGAAGUUCUAACCCUUGCCCAUUUGAUGAGGCAGGAUUUCUUGUGUUCAUUGAUGAGGAGGACCAGGUGCAACCCAACCGCUACUAGGCGACUUAUAUUGUGUUCUGACACAGAGUUAUUUUUGGGCUGGUGACAAGAGGGCUAUUCCCUUAUGUUGUGUGGAGAGCCCAGGAAACCGUCCCGAUUCCCUAAGAACAAUACACUGGCCUUGUGCAAAGGAGGGUUCAGUAGAUGAACACAAUUUUUGCAGACGGAUCGUAUCUGUUCUCUUGAUUUUCUUCAAUAUUAAAAUAUGAUAUAAACAAUAUCAGGUCAUUUUUGUAUACUUUUGUGAAUGACUUGUUAUUUUAUAAAUACUGAUUUGUACUGUCUUUGGUUGCUAAACUGUCAUUAAGAAAUUAUCUCGUUUCAAUUUGAAAGCCAGAAAACCUGCAUGUUAUGUAUACUCAUGUUAUUGUUUAUAUUUAUGCCCCCUCCGAGGAAGAGGGGUUGCAUUGCACAUGUUGGUCGGACGAUUCGCAGCUUUGUUGGUAGACCAAAGCUUGUCUAAGUGAUAACAACUGAAGGACAGAUGGUUAUCAAACUUGACAUGAAUGUUGGGCCUGACCAGUAGAUAACCCUAUUGAUUUAAGGGGUCAUCAGGUCCAAGUUCAAGAUCACAGUGACCUUUAAUGGUAUAAAGUUGUUAAAGCUUGUCCGAGAAAUAACUAAAAAAUACCUGAACGUACGGUAUGGUUAUCAAAUUUGACAUGGAGGCUGGGCCUGAUUAGUAGAUGACCCCUAUUGAUUUUAGGAGUCAUUGGGCCAAUGGUAACAGUCACAGUGACCUUUAAGUUGAAAAGGUUAACAAAGAUUCUCUGAGUGAUAUCACAACAAUGUCUGGCCCUAUGAUCAUCAAACUUGACAUUGAGGCUGGGUAUGACCAUAACUGAUUUAAAUAGUCAUUGGCCCUAAGUGACGAAAGUGCGUUAAGAAUGAACGAGUGAUAAAUCAACAAUGCCUGCACCCAUGGCUCUCAAACAUGAUAAGGGAAUUUGGCUUUACCAGUAGAUGGUUCAUUUUGAUUUCAGGGGUAAUCAGGUCAAAGGUGAAGGUUACAGUGACCUUGAAAGCAUAUUCGUGUGAUUACUUGACAAUGCCUGCACCCAUGGUUCUCAAACUUGCCAUCUAGGUUGGGGGUGACCAGUUGAUGAUCUUAUAGAUCUUGAAGUCAGAGGUCAACCUAUAUGCAUGAUUAAGUAUUUUGUCAUAUUUACUUAUUUCCUGCUCCUGAAAGGAUAUAUUUUUAUCUGCAAAUAUCAGUCAUCAUCUGAACGUGAUUUAGAACUUUACUUACUAUCCUCACACUUUGAACGGUCAUAAUCUUAAAACUGCCGCAAAGGCAUCUAAUGUCAAUGACAAGUCAGCUGUCAUUUCAGUCUGCAUAUUUAAUUCAAUUUGCGGAAUAAGCCUGACAACUUGGCGCUCCUCAAGGGGAGGGGGUUCAUAUGUUUGACAAACAUCUCUUGUUUUUCUGUUUAAAAGCGCUUUCAAAUGACACUCGAGCAAUAUGUCUGUUUGAAUCCAAAUUUCACAUUUUAUCUUUAAAAUGUGUCAUACCUUUCUCAACCUUGUUUAGAAAUAAUAAAAUGGACCUAAAGCAGGCUCAAUUUUGAUACAGCCCAUUUCUUAAGUAGAACAAAGAUUAAUGCAAAAAACCACUUUCCCACAAAGAAGUAAAUAACUGAAAUAAAACCAUGAAGAUCCCACAGUUUGUUGACUUCUUCUUGAUUUAAAAACUCAGAUCUUAUAUAUCCGAUAACUUGUGUAAGCAAAAUAGUAAACAAGAGGGCCAAAUGGCACUGAAUCGCUCACCUGUCAUAUAUUGCACAUUCUUCCAUUAUAUACAAAUAUUAAAAACCUAAGCCAAUGAACACGGGGCGUGGCCAAUUUUGA